rnacentral:rRNA from 1 species
AUACGGAGGAUGCGAGCGUUAUCCGGAUUUAUUGGGUUUAAAGGGAGCGUAGGCGGGAGCUUAAGUCAGCGGUUAAAUGGUGCGGCUCAACCGUGCCCUGCCGUUGAAACUGGGUUUCUUGAGAGUACAAGAGGCGGAUGGAAUUCAUGGUGUAGCGGUGAAAUGCUUAGAUAUCAUGAAGAACUCCGAUUGCGAAGGCAGUCCGCUGGGGCACGUCUGACGCUGAUGCUCGAAGGUGCGGGAAUCAAACAGGAUUAGAUACCCUGGUAGUCCGCACGGUAAACGAUGAUUACCCGCUGUCGGCGGUAGACAGUCGGCGGCCAAGCGAAAGCGAUAAGUAAUCCACCUGGGGAGUACGCCGGCAACGGUGAAACUCAAAGGAAUUGACGGGG